UAUCCACGUGUCCUACUUAUAUCAGUACACUUAACAACUUAUGCUUAUAUUCGAGAAAAUAAGACAUUAGUUUAUUUGUUGACCAAAUUCGACAGUCAUUAUAAAAACACCACCUAAAGGAGGGAGACUGCUUUUCUGCCGAGUUGGACAUCUCUCUUCCUCUCUGCUAACACACACACACAGGUGUUCUGAACACACUAGACAGCAGGUGGCGAAUUAUGUCUUCCGUAAACAAGCGCUCGAACGUGGAGAUAUGGCUGUGUGGGAACACUAACCCUAUAAAAGGUGGGAUGUUCGGAUGUGCUGAUCCUGUGCAGGUGUUGUUACACGUGGUCUGCCACUGCGAGAACGAUCAGCUGUCCAUCCUGUCUCCCUGUAGCUCUGUCUUAGGCGUCUCGCAGUACGGACGUUGCAAUUUAUUGUCCUAGCCACAUCUGCAGUCCUCAUGCCUCCUUGCAGCACGUUCAAGCAGAUGAGCAGGGACCCUGGGCAUCUUUCUUUUGGUGUUUUCCAGAGAAUAACUUGAAAACUGGAAGUCUUAAUGCUGCCACCGGGACGCGAAUGUUGCUGUCAUGACUCUAAUAACAACAGACCUUUGCGAAGCUGAAGAACGUGUAACGUAAUGAGGGGUUUGUAUAAUAUAAGGCUUAGAAUGAAGAGAUAUGAAGCAAGGAGGAUGAUCCUUCCGAUCUAGUACAUCUACAUCAACUGUCGCGUCAAAACCGUCGCAAAGGAGGGUAGCUACGGUAACCAACAUCCUGAAACCACGACAGAGGUCUGUCCUCACCAACCAACUAUC